rnacentral:misc_RNA from 1 species
CGCACCUUGCGCUUUUGGGUCAUUCCUGGAAGCAUGCUUGUUUGAGUGUCGCGUACCCUCUCAACCCCGCCCUUUUCACGAAGAGUAGCCCAGGGUUGGAUCAUGGCGCCUUUGCCGCUUGACUCUCUCAAGCGGCUGCGCUGAAUUGCAAUCAAGCUGUAUCUUUGCCAAGCGACCGGCGGCUUGACCCGUUGUCAUAAGACUUUCAAUGGGGACGCCAACCGCUUACCUUUUAAAGAACGAGCUUACCAAAAAUUUGAAUUUAUCGCAUUGACCUCAAAUCAAGUAGGACUACCCGCUGAACUUAA